rnacentral:rRNA from 1 species
ACGGGAGGCAGCAGUGGGGGAUUUUGCACAAUGGGGGAAACCCUGAUGCAGCGACGCCGCGUGAGUGAAGAAGUAUUUCGAUAUGUAAAGCUCUAUCAGCAGGGAAGAAAAUGACGGUACCUGACUAAGAAGCACCGGCUAAAUACGUGCCAGCAGCCGCGGUAAUACGUAUGGUGCAAGCGUUAUCCGGAUUUACUGGGUGUAAAGGGUGCGUAGGUGGCAUGGCAAGUCUGAAGUGAAAUGCGGGGGCUCAACCCCUGAACUGCUUUGGAAACUGUCAAGCUUGAGUACAGGAGAGGAAAGCGGAAUUCCUAGUGUAGCGGUGAAAUGCGUAGAUAUUAGGAGGAACACCAGUGGCGAAGGCGGCUUUCUGGACUGUAACUGACACUGAGGCUCGAAGGUGCGGGUAUCAAACAGGAUUAGAUACCCUGGUA